CCGAUGAUCGCGACCAGCUGUGUCGACAGCGUCGCGAUGAUGGGAACUGCGGCGGCUGAUCUGGGGCAGAUAAUCAGGCCAGACAAGAGGCGAGGGACCGUCCAGCAGAAGGCCGUAAUUACGCACCAAUAACAGAAGAUUGGAGCAGAGGCAAGGCGACCAAUGGGAGUGAAGACAAACCAACCUCCCAUCAUGCUCUCUGUUCCCACGUGAUCCCACCCCGAUGUCUCCCCGUGGACACGUACUCCUGGCGUUCCCCUCAUCUGACUCUCCCUCUCCUCCUCUCCCUCUCCUCCUCUCCCUCUCCUCCUCUUCCUCAGCCUCCUCGGGUCAAUCUUUGAGGCUGGUUCAGAAGCAGCACACACACACAGCAAAUUGAAAAGAGUUAAUUUGUUGUUGUUGGUGAAAUGUGAGCAGAUGUAGAGUUAA